rnacentral:rRNA from 1 species
ACGGAAGGCAGCAGUGGGGAAUAUUGCACAAUGGGGGAAACCCUGAUGCAGCGACGCCGCGUGAAGGAAGAAGUAUUUCGGUAUGUAAACUUCUAUCAGCAGGGAAGAAAAUGACGGUACCUGACUAAGAAGCCCCGGCUAACUACGUGCCAGCAGCCGCGGUAAUACGUAGGGGGCAAGCGUUAUCCGGAUUUACUGGGUGUAAAGGGAGUGUAGGCGGCGAUGCAAGUCAGAUGUGAAAGGCGUGGGCUCAACCCGCGGACUGCAUUUGAAACUGUAUUGCUAGAGUGUCGGAGAGGUAAGUGGAAUUCCUAGUGUAGCGGUGAAAUGCGUAGAUAUUAGGAGGAACACCAGUGGCGAAGGCGGCUUACUGGACGAUAACUGACGCUGAGGCUCGAAAGCGUGGGGAGCAAACAGGAUUAGAUACCCUGGUA